rnacentral:rRNA from 1 species
GACGAACGCUGGCGGCGUGCCUAAUACAUGCAAGUCGAACGCUUCUUUUUCCACCGGAGCUUGCUCCACCGGGAAAAGAGGAGUGGCGAACGGGUGAGUAACACGUGGGUAACCUGCCCAUCAGAAGGGGAUAACACUUGGAAACAGGUGCUAAUACCGUAUAACAAUCGAAACCGCAUGGUUUCGUUUUGAAAGGCGCUUUACGGUGCCGCUGAUGGAUGGACCCGCGGUGCAUUAGCUAGUUGGUGAGGUAACGGCUCACCAAGGCCACGAUGCAUAGCCGACCUGAGAGGGUGAUCGGCCACAUUGGGACUGAGACACGGCCCAAACUCCUACGGGAGGCAGCAGUAGGGAAUCUUCGGCAAUGGACGAAAGUCUGACCGAGCAACGCCGCGUGAGUGAAGAAGGUUUUCGGAUCGUAAAACUCUGUUGUUAGAGAAGAACAAGGGUGAGAGUAACUGUUCACCCCUUGACGGUAUCUAACCAGAAAGCCACGGCUAACUACGUGCCAGCAGCCGCAGUAA